GCCUGAUAGUACCUCAAGAGGAAGGAACGGCAAACUCUGUGCCAGCAGCCGCGGUAAUACAGAGGUUCCAAGCGUUGUUCGGAUUCAUUGGGCGUAAAGGGUGCGUAGGCGGCGUGGUAAGUCAAAUGUGAAAUUACGGAGCUCAACUCCGUACUGCAUUCGAUACUGCCAUGCUAGAGGACUGGAGAGGAGACUGGAAUUCACGGUGUAGCAGUGAAAUGCGUAGAUAUCGUGAGGAAGACCAGUGGCGAAGGCGAGUCUCUGGACAGCUCCUGACGCUGAGGCACGAAGGCCAGGGUAGCGAACGGGAUUAGAUACCCCGGUAGUCCUGGCAGUAAACGUUGCACGUUUGGUGUGGGAGGAUUCGACCCCUUCCGUGCCGGAGCUAACGCGUUAAACGUGCCGCCUGGGGAGUACGGUCGCAAGAUUAAAACUCAAAGAAAUUGACGGGGGCCCGCACAAGCGGUGGAGUAUGUGGCUUAAUUCGAUGCAACGCGAAGAACCUUACCCAGCCUUGACAUGCAUUUCUAAACCGGUGAAAGCCGGCGAGUCUUCGGACAACUUGCACAGGUGCUGCAUGGCUGUCGUCAGCUCGUGUCGUGAGAUGUUGGGUUAAGUCCCGCAACGAGCGCAACCCCUGUGAACUGUUGCUAUCCUUUUGGAGCACUCUGUUCAGACUGCCCUGUCAAACGGGGAGGAAGGUGGGGACGACGUCAAGUCUGUAUGGCCCUUAUGGCUGGGGCUGCACACGUACUACAAUGCCCAGUACAAUGUGAACCGAAACCGCGAGGUGGAGGAAAUCGAUAAAACUGGGCCCAGUUCGGAUUGGAGGCUGCAACUCGCCUCCAUGAAGCCGGAAUCGCUAGUAAUGGCGCAUCAGCUACGGCGCCGUGAAUACGUUCCCGGGCCUUGUACACACCGCCCGUCACAUCAUGGAAGUCGCUUGUACCCGAAGCAUUCGCGCCAACCGCA
rnacentral:rRNA from 1 species